AACAGGAUUAGAUACCCUGGUAGUCCACGCCGUAAACGAUGAGUGCUAGGUGUUGGGGGUUUCCGCCCUCUGUGCCGAAGGUAACCCAAUAAGCACUCCGCCUGGGGAGUACGGCCGCAAGGCUGAAACUCAAAGGAAUUGACGGGGGCCCGCACAAGCGGCGGAGCAUGUGGUUUAAUUCGAAGCAACGCGAAGAACCUUACCAGGUCUUGACAUCCCGCUGAUCGGUGUAGAGAUAUGCCUUUCCUUCGGGACAGCGGUGACAGGUGGUGCAUGGUUGUCGUCAGCUCGUGUCGUGAGAUGUUGGGUUCAGUCCCGCAACGAGCGCAACCCUUGUCGUCAGUUGCCAGCACGUAGAGGUGGGCACUCUGGCGAGACGGCCGGUGAAAGCCGGAGGAAGGUGGGGAUGACGUCAAAUCAUCAUGCCCCUUAUGACCUGGGCUACACACGUGCUACAAUGGCCGGUACAACGGGUAGCGAACCCGCGAGGGGGAGCCAAUCCAAAAAACCGGUCUCAGUUCGGAUCGCAGGCUGCAACUCGCCUGCGUGAAGCUGGAAUCGCUAGUAAUCGCGGAUCAGCAUGCCGCGGUGAAUCCGUUCCCGGGCCUUGUGCACACCGCCCGUCACACCACGAGAGUCUGCAACACCCGAAGUCGGUGAGGUAACCUUCGGGAACCAGCCGCCGAAGGUGGGGCAGAUGAUUGGGGUGAAGUCGUAACAAGGUAACC
rnacentral:rRNA from 1 species